UCCGGUUGAUCCUGCCGGAGGCCACUGCUAUCGGGGUCCGACUAAGCCAUGCGGGUCAUGGGGCUCCCUUUUGGGAGCACCGGCGAACGGCUCAGUAACACGUGGCUAACCUACCCUCGGGUGGGGGAUAACCUCGGGAAACUGAGGCUAAUCCCCCAUAGGGGAGGAGGUCUGGAAUGAUCCCUCCCCGAAAGGCGUAAGCCGCCCGAGGAUGGGGCUGCGGCGGAUUAGGUAGUUGGUGGGGUAAUGGCCCACCAAGCCUACGAUCCGUACGGGCCCUGAGAGGGGGAGCCCGGAGAUGGACACUGAGACACGGGUCCAGGCCCUACGGGGCGCAGCAGGCGCGAAACCUCCGCAAUGCGCGAAAGCGCGACGGGGGGACCCCGAGUGCCCUGCCUCUGGCAGGGCUUUUCCGGAGUGUAAACAGCUCCGGGAAUAAGGGCUGGGCAAGUCCGGUGCCAGCAGCCGCGGUAAUACCGGCGGCCCAAGUGGUGGCCACUGUUAUUGGGCCUAAAGCGUCCGUAGCCGGCCCGGUAAGUCUCUGCUUAAAUCCCGCGGCUUAACCGCGGGGCUGGCAGAGAUACUGCCGGGCUUGGGACCGGGAGAGGCCGGGGGUACCCCAGGGGUAGCGGUGAAAUGCGUUGAUCCCUGGGGGACCACCUGUGGCGAAAGCGCCCGGCUGG
rnacentral:rRNA from 1 species